AGUAAAAGUCGUAACAAGGUUUCCGUAGGUGAACCUGCGGAAGGAUCAUUAAAAAAUUGGACUCCAUUGGUGAGUUCAUUAAUAAUCCCUACCCUUUGUGAAUUUGUUUGUUUGAAUAAUUUUUUUUCCAAAAAAAAUUAUUGAAUGUCUUUCCCUGUUUUGGUGGAGCUUGUAAAGUGAAACCAGGCAGGGGAAUGGCAAACAAUAAUUAUUUUUUGAAAAAAGACCUUUUUUAAAAUUAAACUUUUUGUAUUCAUUUGUCUAAAAUUAUUUUUAUAAUAUAAAAACAACUUUUGACAAUGGAUCUCUUGGUUCUCGCAACGAUGAAGAACGCAGCAAAAUGCGAUAAGUAGUGUGAAUUGCAGAAUACGUGAAUCAUCGAAUCUUCGAACGCAUAUUGCACUUUUUUAGUUUACUAAAAAAGUAUGUCUGUUUGAGUAUCAGUAAGAUAUUCUCAUAAAAAACAUUGUUUUUUUAUGGUCAUGAGUGUUUUACAACGAUAACAAGUUGUUUCACUUUAAAUUCUUUGUUAUCAAAAAAAUCAUUAAAAGCUAAUUUUAAAGAUUUUUUAAAAUUGGAUAAAAUUUUCCCGUAAAAAGGAAUAACCUAAACAAUUUUAAAAAAUUAAAAUUGGUUUGAUUUCUUUUGAAACCCAAAGGAAAAAAAAACGAAAUUAACUUGAUCUCAAAUCAGAUAAGAGUACCCGCUGAACUUAAGCAUAUCAAUAAGCGGAGGAAAAGAAACUAACUAGGAUUCCCUCAGUAACGGCGAGUGAAGCGGGAAGAGCUCAAAUUUGAAAUCUUCAAGGUUUUACCUUGACGAAUUGUAGUUUAAAGAAGUGUUUUCUGUUGGAGUUUUGGUAAAAGUUCUUUGGAAAAGGACAUCAUAGAGGGUGAGAAUCCCGUAUUUGACCAUUAUCUCCAGCUUUGUGAUACACUUACAAAGAGUCGGAUUGUUUGGGAAUGCAGUCCAAAAUGGUGGUAAAUUUCAUCUAAAGCUAAAUACUGGCGAGAGACCGAUAGCGAACAAGUACCGUGAGGGAAAGAUGAAAAGAACUUUGAAAAGAGAGUUAAACAGUACGUGAAAUUGUCAAAAGGGAAGCGUUUGACACCAGUGUUGUUGUGGAGAAAUCAAUUGUGUGGAACGGGUUGUUGUGGGGUUGAGACCUUAUCAGCUCUCCUUACUCUUUACCUUUUUCACGCAAUGCACUUUCUCUUUAACAAGUCAACAUCAAUUUCUUUUGUUGUAAAAGGGUCAGCGGAAGGUGGCUUUCUUUUCGGAGAAAGUGUUUAUAGCCGUUGAUCUCUACAAUCGGAGAGAUUGAGGUCUGCAACGUAGAUCCUUCGGGGUUAGAUACGUCGGUGCUAAGUUAUAAUCCUAUAUAGACAACUUGUUGACUAUAUUCGAUCAUGUAGCUUACUCGCUGACGCUAUUUUACCUACGCUUAGGAUGUUGA
rnacentral:misc_RNA from 1 species